GUGAAUCAUCAAAUCUUUGAACGCAAAUUGCACUCUCUUCGGUGAGUAUGCCUGUUUGAGGGUCAGCCUAAAAAAAAAUCGACAUCGUCGCUGUUUCGCGGUGAUAUUCGUCGGAAAUUGGGUCAAUUUAAACCUUUGGGUUUUAAGAGGCUUAAAAUUUUAUUUAUGAUUUCACGAACGUUUGUAAGUUUUACUUCUUAUACGUUUAAGGUAUCGAUCUUUAUUAGACGUGGCCGUUGCAUCGGAACUCGUCAAUGAAU
rnacentral:misc_RNA from 1 species